UCCCCACCAUUCAAUCAUAGCUGAAAAGGAAACUAUCCUUGGAAUAAGCACUGUCCUGUCCUCUUUCUAAGGGGACUCCAAACAGGAAAUUGGUUUCACCUGUCAGGAACUUCUGGCACCUUGGUAGAUCUUUAAACUAUCACAUCGCAGAAUUACAGAUUUUAGAACUGGAAGGAACCGUGAAGAUGAUCACUCAAGACUUCCCUUUCUUUCAGGAGGACAGGAUAGCCAUCACUGGAGGCGUGUGGGACCCCAGGACACAACUGAAAACGGGUCUUCGUGGUUUGAUGGUCCUGUGUUAGAAAAUCGGGGUGAUCUGACUACCUGGGUUUGGAGAUGGGCAUCUUGUUUUCUGGCAGAAUUGAGGAAAGCAAGGCUGCUUUGGGCUGUGUGUAAAUUGUAAACUGGUUCUCAGAACAGACUCCAGGUCACAGUGAGUAUUGAGUUUUGAUUGUCAUCUGGGCUUGGCUAUGCUUGUCACCUGUGCUAUGGUACUCAACAGCUACUUUUGAUGGGUAUGGGCGAUCUUAUUUACCCAUUAGUUUUAUUUCAAAUCCUUCACUUAGAGCCAUUAUAAACAAGCUCCUUACAUUAUCCUUGGAGAAAGAAAGGUGUUUUCUUGGUAUGAUUUAGAGAAAUUGAGCAGAAAGUUUUGAGACAUUAAAAAAAAAAAAAGAUGAUUUCCAGCCACUACCUUCAGAAAAACAAGUGUCAACAUUUAAUUUUGGUCCAUAUGCUGCCUGCUUUUGGCCUGUAUUAUCCUGAGACCUUUUUUUUUUUUUUUUUUAGUUUAGAAACCUUUUUGGCCUAGCUCAGAGUUUCCCCCCAAAACACGGAUUUUUUCCACACUUUUCUCACUUAUUUAAAAUGGAAAUAAAUAUCUCGGGAGCUUAAAAUAGAGAAGUGAUGGGGGGGUGCAUAAUCAUUUGUCUACAGCACUCUAUCACUGUUUUGAAUAACAGGGUUUUCACUUCCUAUGAAACCUUAGCAUGAGGGAAAGCAGCAGCUGGACCAGGAAGGGGAUGCAGGGAGGAAAGCACUUGAGUGUUUGUAAACUCAGGGUGGCUGGCCCACCGGGCUGCUGUACUUAGCUGUCUUUACUACCUAAGGCUAGAAGUGGAAAAACUUGAUUUGCGUGUUGUGCCUGCAUUUUUUUUUUUUUUUUUUUCCUUCUCCACACCGCCCUCUGUACACCUGACCAUGCUGAAGCCUAUCUGAAGCCGGCUUGACGGCAGGGAGAGCUGGAGAGCGGAAGAAUGUGCUGAGAAAGGGAGUGCUCGGUACUUUUCCAUUCACAUCUCCACAGUGGCUUUUCUUGUUUAUUUCAACCUCCACCAGCGGAACCCUGUCAGCUGCCUGAAAUCCGAGUCAUUAAACUGUUCCCUGAGAAACAAUGAUGCUACACUAGCAAAGAGCCCACCUGGUACCAGAUCUUGAUUUCUGAUACUUCUGUGCAGUAAUGGAAAACAAGGCUCCUUGGAGAAACGUCUGGUUCUAGAUCUAGGACUGGGGCAAGAAGUAUUCAAAAUCAGAAUGGAACAUCUUAUAGCAUCAUAAAUAAAGAAUUGCUGAAAAACAAACAAAAACUACAUCGAUGGGGCAUAUUUCAAAGAGACACUGGAGCCACUUGAAGAGCUCCCAAUGGGCAAAGCUGGAAGAUUUGGAGUAAAAAAAAGGAAAUCAAGUCAUAUUAGAUUACAAUCCAAAGUCUAAAAGAAAUAUCCAUGAAUCCACACUGAUAUAAAUUAUUAAAUAAAUUAAUAAAUCAGAGAAAAGAGACAAAUCUCCCUUGAAGAAAAAUUCCAAAUCAUUUAUGUAGAUACACUGCCAGCAAGGAUGGGGGCAGGGGGCGGUGUGUAACUCCUCACUCCUCAGGUGUGAGCUAUGCACAGUGACUUCCUUCCAAAGAGUACAGUAUGGGAAGGGAGGAAAGGAGGGAGGGAAUCAUUUUACAUGGAGAAACCUGACAAACACUACACCAGCCAAUUCACCAAGGUGAACAUCAGCAAUUAUAAGCCAUGUUGAUUGUUAUGUACCUUUGAUCUGAGGAGAUGAAAAUGGCUUUUUACCUCUGUGGUCUUCCUCCCACACCCCAGUCUAUUUAUGAGAAAAGUCUCAGACAAGUUUCAACAGAAGGGCAUCCUACAAAAGGCGUCACCAGUAUUCCACAGAGCUAUCAAGGAAAGUCUGAGAAAUUGCAGCAGCUGAGAGUAACCUCAGAAGAUAUGACAACUUAAUGUAAUGUAGUAUCCUGGAUGGGAUCAUGAAACAGAAAAAGAUAAGGUAAACCCAGACAAAUCUGAAUAAAUGAGGAGCUUUAGUUAAUAA